rnacentral:rRNA from 1 species
AGAGUUUGAUCCUGGCUCAGAUCGAACGCUGGCGGCAUGCCUUACACAUGCAAGUCGAACGGCAGCACGGACUUCGGUCUGGUGGCGAGUGGCGAACGGGUGAGUAAUACAUCGGAACGUGCCUAGUAGUGGGGGAUAACUACUCGAAAGAGUGGCUAAUACCGCAUGAGAUCUACGGAUGAAAGCAGGGGAUCGCAAGACCUUGUGCUACUAGAGCGGCUGAUGGCAGAUUAGGUAGUUGGUGGGAUAAAAGCUUACCAAGCCGACGAUCUGUAGCUGGUCUGAGAGGACGAUCAGCCACACUGGGACUGAGACACGGCCCAGACUCCUACGGGAGGCAGCAGUGGGGAAUUUUGGACAAUGGGCGCAAGCCUGAUCCAGCAAUGCCGCGUGCAGGAUGAAGGCCUUCGGGUUGUAAACUGCUUUUGUACGGAACGAAAAGCUUCGGGCUAAUACCCUGAAGUCAUGACGGUACCGUAAGAAUAAGCACCGGCUAACUACGUGCCAGCGGCCGCGGUAAUACGUAGGGUGCAAGCGUUAAUCGGAAUUACUGGGCGUAAAGCGUGCGCAGGCGGUUUUGUAAGACAGAGGUGAAAUCCCCGGGCUCACCUGGGAACUGCCUUUGUGACUGCAAGGCUAGAGUACGGCAGAGGGGGAUGGAAUUCCGCGUGUACAGUGAAAUGCUAAAUUUGCGGAGGAACCCGAUGGCAGGCAUCCCUGGGCCUGUACUGACCCUCAUGCCAAGCUGGGGACACAGGAUUAAAACCCUGGUAUCCCCCCUUAACAUUUCACUGGUUGUUGGUCUUCCGACUCUUACAACCUACCUGAAUGACGCCUGGGGAGUACGGCCGCAAAGGUGAAACUAAAAGAAAUUGCGGGCCCCGCACAAAGCGGUGGAGGAUGGGUUUAUUUGUGCAAACGGAAAAACCUUACCCACCUUUGACAUGUACGGAAGUUGCCAGAGAUGGUUCGUGCUGAAAGAGAACCGUAACACAGGUGUGCAUGGCUGUCGUCAGCUCGUGUCGUGAGAUGUUGGGUUAAGUCCCGCAACGAGCGCAACCCUUGUCAUUAGUUGUACGAAAGGGCACUUAAUGAGACUGCCGGUGAUAAACCGGAGGAAGGUGGGGAUGACGUCAAGUCCUCAUGGCCCUUAUAGGUGGGGCUACACACGUCAUACAAUGGCUGGUACAGAGGGUUGCCAACCCGCGAGGGGGAGCCAAUCCCAUAAAACCAGUCGUAGUCCGGAUCGCAGUCUGCAACUCGACUGCGUGAAGUCGGAAUCGCUAGUAAUCGCGGAUCAGAAUGUCACGGUGAAUACGUUCCCGGGUCUUGUACACACCGCCCGUCACACCAUGGGAGCGGGUUCUGCCAGAAGUAGUUAGCCUAACCGCAAGGAGGGCGAUUACCACGGCAGGGUUCGUGACUGGGGUGAAGUCGUAACAAUGUAACCGUA